rnacentral:lncRNA from 10 species
GCAGUUUGAUCUCAGACUGCUGUGCUAGCAAUCAGCAAGACUCCGUGGGCGUAGGACCCUCCAAGCCAGGUGCGAUAUAAUGUCGUGGUGCGCCGUUUUUUAAGCUGGUUGGAAAAGCGCAGUAUUCGCGUGGGAGUGACCCGAUUUUCCAGUGAGAUGAACCCGGUACCUCAGAUUGAAAUGCAGAAAUCACCCGUCUUCUGCGUCGCUCACGCUGGGAGCUGUAGACCGGAGCUGUUCCUAUUCGGCCAUCUUGGCUCCUCCCUCAGUUCUGGAGACUGGGACAUCCAAGGUCAAUGUGCUGGCAGAUUCAAUGUCUGGAGUGAAAUACAUCACCGCUUUCCCUGCUCCCGCCGCCAUUAAAAUUGUGUUUGGCAUCUGACCACCAAGAUACAGAUAUUUCCUAGACUGUUUUGCAGCUAGGUACUUAGGCAGAUGCCUGGUUUCCAAA